rnacentral:rRNA from 1 species
CGGGGGAUAGCCAGGGGAAACCCUGAUUAAUACCGCAUGAUGUCGAAAGACCAAAGUGGGGGACCGUAAGGCCUCACACUCUGAGAUGAGCCUAUGUCGGAUUAGCUAGUUGGCGGGGUAACGGCCCACCAAGGCGACGAUCCGUAGCUGGUCUGAGAGGACGAUCAGCCACACCGGAACUGAGACACGGUCCGGACUCCUACGGGAGGCAGCAGUGGGGAAUAUUGGACAAUGGGCGAAAGCCUGAUCCAGCGACGCCGCGUGGGUGAAGAAGGCCUUCGGGUUGUAAAGCCCUUUAAGCCGGGACGAAAAAGCUGCACCUAACACGUGCGGCCUUGACGGUACCGGAAGAAUAAGCACCGGCUAACUCUGUGCCAGCAGCCGCGGUAAUACAGAGGGUGCGAGCGUUAAUCGGAUUUACUGGGCGUAAAGCGUGUGUAGGUGGCUUCCUAAGUCGGUUGUGAAAUCCCUGGGCUCAACCUGGGAAUUGCAGUCGAUACUGGGAAGCUCGAGUUCGGUAGAGGACGGCGGAAUUCCCGGUGUAGCGGUGAAAUGCGUAGAUAUCGGGAGGAACAUCGAUGGCGAA